rnacentral:misc_RNA from 1 species
GAAACGCGAUAAGUAAUGUGAAUUGCAGAAUUCAGUGAAUCAUCGAAUCUUUGAACGCACAUUGCGCCCGCCAGUAUUCUGGCGGGCAUGCCUGUCCGAGCGUCAUUUCAACCAUCAAGCCCCCGGGCUUGUGUUGGGGACCUGCGGCUGCCCGCAGGCCCUGAAAACCAGUGGCGGGCUCGCUGUCACACCGAGCGUAGUAGCAAUCACCUCGCUCAGGGCGUGCUGCGGGUUCCGGCCGUUAAACAGCCUUACAAAACCCAAGGUUGACCUCGGAUCAGGUAGGAAGACCCGCUGAACUUAAGC